UUGCUCCUUUGAAGUUAGCGGCGGACGGGUGAGUAACACGUGGGUAACCUACCUAUAAGACUGGAAUAACUUCGGGAAACCGGAGCUAAUGCCGGAUAACAUUUGGAACCGCAUGGUUCUAAAGUAAAAGAUGGUUUUGCUAUCACUUAUAGAUGGACCCGCGCCGUAUUAGCUAGUUGGUAAGGUAACGGCUUACCAAGGCAACGAUACGUAGCCGACCUGAGAGGGUGAUCGGCCACACUGGAACUGAGACACGGUCCAGACUCCUACGGGAGGCAGCAGUAGGGAAUCUUCCGCAAUGGACGAAAGUCUGACGGAGCAACGCCGCGUGAGUGAUGAAGGUUUUCGGAUCGUAAAACUCUGUUAUUAGGGAAGAACAAAUGUGUAAGUAACUGUGCACAUCUUGACGGUACCUAAUCAGAAAGCCACGGCUAACUACGUGCCAGCAGCCGCGGUAAUACGUAGGUGGCAAGCGUUAUCCGGAAUUAUUGGGCGUAAAGCGCGCGUAGGCGGUUUCUUAAGUCUGAUGUGAAAGCCCACGGCUCAACCGUGGAGGGUCAUUGGAAACUGGGAAACUUGAGUACAGAAGAGGAAAGUGGAAUUCCAUGUGUAGCGGUGAAAUGCGCAGAGAUAUGGAGGAACACCAGUGGCGAAGGCGACUUUCUGGUCUGUAACUGACGCUGAUGUGCGAAAGCGUGG
rnacentral:rRNA from 1 species